rnacentral:rRNA from 1 species
GACAGAGGGUGCAAACGUUGUUCGGAAUUACUGGGCGUAAAGCGCACGUAGGCGGUUUGUUAAGUCGGAUGUGAAAUCCCUCGGCUCAACUGAGGAAGUGCAUCCGAAACUGGCAGGCUUGAGUACUAAAGAGGGUCGCGGAAUUCCCGGUGUAGAGGUGAAAUUCGUAGAUAUCGGGAGGAACACCGGUGGCGAAGGCGGCGACCUGGGUAGAUACUGACGCUGAGGUGCGAAAGCGUGGGGAGCAAACAGG